GAUGAACGCUGGCGGCGUGCCUAGUACAUGCAAGUCGAGCGAACAGAUGAGAAGCUUGCUCCUCUGACGUUGGCGGCGGACGGGUGAGUAACACGUGGAUAACCUACCUAUAAGACUGGGAUAACUUCGGGAAACCGGAGCUAAUACCGGAUAAUAUAUUGAACCGCAUGGUUCAAUAGUGAAAGACGGUUUUGCUGUCACUUAUAGAUGGAUCCGCGCCGCAUUAGCUAGUUGGUAAGGUAACGGCUUACCAAGGCAACGAUGCAUAGCCGACCUGAGAGGGUGAUCGGCCACACUGGAACUGAGACACGGUCCAGACUCCUACGGGAGGCAGCAGUAGGGAAUCUUCCGCAAUGGGCGAAAGCCUGACGGAGCAACGCCGCGUGAGUGAUGAAGGUCUUCGGAUCGUAAAACUCUGUUAUUAGGGAAGAACAAAUGUGUAAGUAACUAUGCACGUCUUGACGGUACCUAAUCAGAAAGCCACGGCUAACUACGUG
rnacentral:rRNA from 1 species